UGGGGUAAGUUGGGCCAGUGGGUAAGUUGACCCGCCCCCUGUAUCUUGGCAACUGUACACUUUUACUUAGUAUACUUGUAAUAAUGUAUUU